rfam:Persephonella marina EX-H1, complete genome.
GGCCAAGCUGCUAAGGGUCCAUGGUGGAUGCCUCGGCAGCCAGAAGGGAUGAAGGGCGUGGCAAGCUGCGAAAAGCCACGGGGAGCCGCAAGCAGGCGAUGAUCCGUGGAUUCCCGAAUGGGGAAACCCGGCGGGAGAAAUCCCGUCACACCCGAAAGGGUGACCGAACCGGGCGAAGUAAAACCUUUUAGUAGCCCGAGGAAAAGAAACCGAAAGGGAUUCCCUGAGUAGCGGCGAGCGAAAGGGGAGGAGCCUAAACCGGUGUGGUGCCAUGGCGGCAGCCUUAGCCACACCGGGGUAGCGGGACAUACCCGGAGGGGACUGCCGGCCCCUCGGGGAGUUACAAAAUCAGGUGGUAGCAGAAGCAGUUGGGAAACUGCGCCACAGAGGGUGAGAGCCCCGUAUGCGAAACCACCUGAUCUCCCUGGGGUAUGAUCCCAAGUACCACCGCCCCCGUGAAAGGUGGUGGGAAUCAGCCCGGACCACCGGGUAAGGCUAAAUAUUCCUGGCUGACCGAUAGCGCAUAGUACCGCGAGGGAACGGUGAAAAGAACCCCGGGAGGGGAGUGAAAUAGAACCUGAAACCAUGGACCUACAAGCCAGUGGGAGGGCUAUGACCUUCGGGUCAAGCCUGACUGCGUGCCUCUUGGAAAAUGAGCCAGGGAGUUGUGGCAUGCGGCGAGGUUAAGCCGUGGAGGCGAAGCCGUAGGGAAACCGAGUCCGAAUAGGGCGAUAAAGUCGCAUGCUGCAGACGCGAAGCGGAACGAUCUAUCCAUGCCCAGGGUGAAGGACGGGUAACACCGUCUGGAGGCCCGAACCAAUCGGUGCUGCAAAACCGUUGGAUGAGGUGUGGAUAGGGGUGAAAAGCCAAUCGCGUUCCGUGAUAGCUCGUUCUCCCCGAAAUGCAUCGACGUGCAGCGUCGCUCGUUCCUUCCCGGAGGUAGAGAUACUGAUUGGGCUAGGGCCCCGAAAGGGGUACCGAACCCAACCAAACUCCGAAUGCCGGGAAAGGUAGAGCGGCAGUGAGUCCACGAGGGAUCAGCUCCGUGGACGAGAGGGAAACAACCCAGAUCGCCAGCUAAGGUCCCCAAGUGCACGCUAAGUGGGGAAGGAGGUAGAGCUCCUAAGACAGCGAGGAGGUUGGCUUAGAGGCAGCCAUCCUUUAAAGAGUGCGUAACAGCUCACUCGUCGAGGGGCUCUGCGCCGAAAAUUUAACGGGGCUUAAGCGUGCCACCGAAGCUGCGGGCUUACCCAAUAGGGUAAGCGGUAGGGGAGCGUACCCAGCGGGGAGAAGUCCUACCGUAAGGAGGGAUGGACUGCUGGGUAGUGAGAAUCCUGGCAUGAGUAGCAGCGAAGACAGGUUAGAAACCUGUCCGCCGGAAGCCCAAGGUUUCCGAUCCAAUGUAAAUCAGGGUCGGGUUAGCCGGUACCCUAAGGUGAGGGCGAAAGCCGUAGCCGAUGGGAAGCAGGUUAAUAUUCCUGCGCCAGCUGUGUGGAGGCCGGGGCGUGACGCAGAAGGAUAGCCUCCGGGAAGCUAUGGAUUGCUUCCUCUAAGCGCUUAGGGUGAGGGAUAGGCAAAUCCGUCCCUCGUAAAGCCUGAGGCGUGAUGGGGAGGGGAGGCUUAGACCUCCCCAACGGGGGUGACUCCAGGCUGCCAAGAAAUAACGUCACGGUCGAUGAAGCACAGCUGACCGUACCGUAAACCGACACAGGUGGGCUGGGUUAGUAGCCUAAGGCGGUCGGGGUAACUCUCCUCAAGGAACUCGGCAAAUUGACCCCGUAACUUCGGGAUAAGGGGUGCCCGCACGCCGUGCCGUUUAGGUGCGGAAGCGGGUCGCAGAAACCAGGUGGGGGCGACUGUUUACCAAAAACACAGCACUGCGCAAACUCGAAAGAGGACGUAUGCGGUGUGAAACCUGCCCAGUGCCCGUAGGUUAAGGGGAGCGGUGCAAGCCGCGAACCGAAGCCCGGGUAAACGGCGGCCGUAACUAUAACGGUCCUAUGGUAGCGAAAUUCCUUGUCGGGUAAGUUCCGACCUGCAUGAAUGGUCCAACGAUCCCCACGCUGUCUCGAGGAGAGUCCCGGCGAAAUUGUAGUGUCGGUCAAGAUGCCGACUACCCGCGGCAGGACGGAAAGACCCCGUGAAGCUUUACUGUACCCUGGCAUUGAUUGCUUGCGUGUCAUGCGCAGGAUAGGUGGGAGGCUGGGAAGGGCACCUUUCGGGGUGCCUGGAGCCGCCGGUGAGAUACCACCCUUGACACGUGGGUAAUCUAACCGAGCUGUGUUAUCCACAGCCGGGACAGUGUCAGGCGGGCAGUUUGACUGGGGCGGUCGCCUCCUAAAGGGUAACGGAGGCGCCCAAAGGUACCCUCAGGUGGGUCGGAAAUCCACCGUUAGAGUGCAAAGGCAUAAGGGUGCCUGACUGUGAGACCGACAGGUCGAGCAGGCGCGAAAGCGGGGCUUAGUGACCCACACGUUCCGCGUGGAAGGGCGUGUGAUCAGCGGAUAAAAGCUACUCCGGGGAUAACAGGCUAAUCCCGCCCGAGAGCCCACAUCGACGGCGGGGUUUGGCACCUCGAUGUCGGCUCGCCGCAUCCUGGGGCUGUAGCCGGUCCCAAGGGUUGGGCUGUUCGCCCAUUAAAGCGGCACGCGAGCUGGGUUCAGAACGUCGUGAGACAGUUCGGUCCCUAUCCGCCGCGGGCGCAGGAGUCUUGAGAGGGGCCACUCCUAGUACGAGAGGACCGGAGUGGGGCAGGCUCUGGUGUACCGGUUGUUCUCCAAGAGCAGCGCCGGGUAGCCACCCUGCUACGGGAUAAGCGCUGAAAGCAUCUAAGCGUGAAGCCCACCUCAAGAUAAGGACUCCCGCACCGAAAGGUGCCUGAAGGGCCCUGGGAGACUACCAGGUUGAUAGGCUGCAGGUGGAAGCUCAGCGAUGGGUGGAGCCGAGCAGUACUAAUCGCCCGUGAGGCUUGGCCUC